rnacentral:rRNA from 1 species
AUGUUGUUGCUAGUGGAUUCUGGAAGCACUCAUAGCUUCGUCAAUGCUACUUUUGCAGCUCGAAUUGGUGCAGCAACCACUAACAUCUCUCCAAUAUCAGUGCGCGUCGCUAAUGGUCAGAGAUUGAAUUGCACGGCCAUGGUGCCCCGGCUGCAGUGGUGUGUCCAAGAGCAUCAAUUCACUACAGAUAUGCGUGUGUUAGAAUUAGGAGUUUAUGAUGCAGUGUUGGGUGUGGAUUGGUUAGCCCAACACAGUCCGAUGCAGUGUGACUGGCAACUAAAAACUAUGCAAUUUGAAGACGAAGGCAAGACAGUGCAUCUGACAGGAGUGCGAUCAGAUGGUCAGCCAGCUCUCAGUGCGAUGGAUGCGGCUACCUUGUGGCAAAUGCAUGAUUCCAACGAGAUUUGGGGAGCAGCACUUCUUGAAAUUCAACUGACCCAACCAAGUUCAGACUCUGGACAACCAAUUCCUCAACAAUUCAGAAAAUUCUGA